UGCGGUUCUCGGGUGAUGCACCCCAGAAUUGGGCUCCCUCCUCUCUGGUUCUGGGUGCGUCACCCUAGAACCGCA
rfam:Myotis lucifugus cont2.35740, whole genome shotgun sequence.